GGGGCCGUGGGAGAUGGAGCAGACCUGCCGAGAAUGAACGGGCACUCAAUAAACACCUGCAGAGAGAUGGAUGAUGAAAUUGCCACAGUACAAUGCUUCAGGACAAACUAUUAUGGUUCGGGUGAUGAGUCAUCUGAGAUGGAAGUUGAUGGCAGGGAAAACAGGGAGGCUUGU